GGGCACGCUCCGCACACGUGCCCUUGGGCUACCGGCUGGCUGAGCAGCUGCGGGCGGAGGGCGGCUGCGAGCGCUUCCUCCAGCCUGGAGCUUCCUUCGGCCUCGGAAAGGAGCUUUACCUAGGGCGGCCGGCGACGGAGGUCCCCGGCCUGGAGCGAGCCUCCCCGGGAGCCCGGAGAAAGCCAGCCAAGAAAGACGCCGUCGGGCGGCGCCAGCCUCGGGCGGUUUGUGUGCAGCUGAGGCUGGCCCAGACUUGCCUUGAACUGGCAACCAUCCUAGUGCCUCAGCCUCUCCAAUGCUGGGAUUACUGGUCCAGCUGAGGGUGUAGAGCCAGCAGAUGGGCUCAUGAGGACUGCUUCAUGGAUGUGCACUGGAAGGGCCCAAUGGUCAGUGGUGGAAGAUAGAAAUUCUAUAUCAUUGGGAUGAAGGAUCUGUGCUAGCAGGCUGAGGGAUCUGCAUUGGAGCCAGGAAGCA